rnacentral:rRNA from 1 species
ACGUGAGCAACCUGCCCCUGACUCUGGGAUAAGCGCUGGAAACGGCGUCUAAUACUGGAUACGAACCGGAAUCGCAUGGUUACUGGUUGGAAAGAAUUUCGGUUGGGGAUGGGCUCGCGGCCUAUCAGCUUGUUGGUGAGGUAAUGGCUCACCAAGGCGUCGACGGGUAGCCGGCCUGAGAGGGUGACCGGCCACACUGGGACUGAGACACGGCCCAGACUCCUACGGGAGGCAGCAGUGGGGAAUAUUGCACAAUGGGCGGAAGCCUGAUGCAGCAACGCCGCGUGAGGGAUGACGGCCUUCGGGUUGUAAACCUCUUUUAGCAGGGAAGAAGCGAAAGUGACGGUACCUGCAGAAAAAGCACCGGCUAACUACGUGCCAGCAGCCGCGGUAAUACGUAGGGUGCAAGCGUUAUCCGGAAUUAUUGGGCGUAAAGAGCUCGUAGGCGGUUUGUCGCGUCUGCUGUGAAAUCUGGGGGCUCAACCCCCAGCCUGCAGUGGGUACGGGCAGACUAGAGUGCGGUAGGGGAGAUUGGAAUUCCUGGUGUAGCGGUGGAAUGCGCAGAUAUCAGGAGGAACACCGAUGGCGAAGGCAGAUCUCUGGGCCGUAACUGACGCUGAGGAGCGAAAGGGUGGGGAGCAAACAGGCUUAGAUACCCUGGUAGUCCACCCCGUAAACGUUGGGAACUAGUUGUGGGGUC